GCUGCCUCUAGGUUCUGGGAAGAUGGCGAAGGUCUCAGAGCUUUACGAUGUCACUUGGGAAGAAAUGAGAGAUAAAAUGAGAAAAUGGAGAGAAGAAAACUCAAGAAAUAGUGAGCAAAUUGUGGAAGUUGGAGAGGAAUUAAUUAAUGAAUAUGGUUCUAAGCUGGGAGAUGAUAUUUGGAUCAUAUAUGAACAGGUGAUGAUUGCAGCACUAGACUAUGGUCGGGAUGACUUGGCAUUGUUUUGUCUUCAAGAGCUAAGAAGACAGUUCCCUGGCAGUCACAGAGUCAAGCGAUUAACAGGCAUGAGAUUUGAAGCCAUGGAAAGAUAUGAUGAUGCUAUACAGCUAUAUGAUAGGAUUUUACAAGAAGAUCCAACUAACACUGCUGCAAGAAAGCGUAAGAUUGCCAUUCGAAAAGCCCAGGGGAAAAAUGUGGAGGCCAUUCGGGAGCUGAAUGAGUAUCUGGAACAAUUUGUUGGAGACCAAGAAGCCUGGCAUGAACUUGCAGAACUUUACAUCAAUGAACAUGAAAUAGAAUCAGAUUCUCAUGCACAUUUUCUUGUGCAUGAAUAUUUAACCUUGUUCUCAUACUGCAAACAACUGAUGAGAAACAGAAUGAAGACAUUUGUCUGUUGUCUG
rnacentral:sRNA from 1 species